AUGCCAGCAAUCUGUUUGCAAGCCACUCUUUGAUGGCGAAUAGCACAUAUACAAGUUGCUUGGAGGACAACUCACGCAUUGAUGAGCUCAAGCCUUGGAGUGAACCUUGUGUUUAGGUUUUGAUAAGGGUUCGACCUAUCAGUAGUACAGAAAGGGCUUUGCAAGGGUCUGGUAGAUGCUUGAGGCAGGAGAGUGCACAGACUUUAACGUGGCUAGGGCAUCCGGAUACCAGAUUUACCCUUGAUCAUGUAGCAUGCGAGACUAUAUCACAGCUUUUUGAGGUUGUAGGCUUGCCAGUUGUGGAGAAUUGCAUGUCUGGGUAUAGUAGUUGCAUGUUUGUAUAUGACCAGGUAGGUCCCACUAAAGCUUUUGGUGGUUGUAAAGGUAUUGUAGGAGAGCUGAUGAGUUUUUGGAUGUCUUCAUGCAGACUGGGAGUGGGAAGACAUAUACCAUGAUGGGUGACAUAUGUGAGAUGGACAAUGAACUUAGUGAAGAUUGUGGGAUGACACCUCAUAUUUUUGAAUAUCUAUUUAUGCGAAUUAGAGAGGAAGAGGAGAACCGGAGAGAUGAAAGAUUGAAGUAUAGUUGCAAUUGUUCCUUUCUUGAGAUAUAAAAAUGAGCAGAUAACAGAUCUCCUUGAGCCAGCAUCAACCAAUCUGCAAGUAAUUUGAUAUCUUCGA